rnacentral:lncRNA from 1 species
UACAAAUUGCAACUCAAUACAUUCAUGAGAAGGACAAUCUUCAUGAAUCGAGUAUUUCUGUUGAGCCUGAUCCCGAUGAUAGCAACCUCAAAUAUGAAUCUGAUCCUGGUAGCAUCAUGGUGAAAUAUGAACCUGAUCCUGAUGACAGCAUCACAAAAGAUGAACCUGAUCCUGAUGACAGCAUCAUGAAAGUUGAACCUGAUCCUUAUGACAGCAUCAUGAAAGAUGAGCCUGAACCUGAUGACAGCAUUGUGAAAGAUGAACCUGAUCCUGAUGACAGGAUUACGAAAGAUAAACCCGAAUCUGAUGAUAGCAUCAUGAAAGAUGAUCCUGAUGACAGUAUUACAAAAGAUGGACCAGAUCCUGACACCAUCAUAAAAGAUGAACCUGAUCUUGAUAAAAGUAUUGCGAAAGAUGAACCCGAUCCUGAUGACAACAUCUUGAAAGAUGAACCUGAUCCUGAUCCUGAUGAAAGUAUCACGAAAGAUGAACCCGAUCCUCGUGAAUCUAUCACGAAAGAUGAACCCGAUCCUCGUGAAUCUUUGGGGAAAAUGGUAGAUUAUCUUAAGCAUGGAAGCUAUAAUGCUGAAACUAUCCGUGGUAAAUCGCUUCUAACAGUGGACGAUGUUAUGCAUGUUGAUUAUUAUGCACAUUCCGAAUCAUUGU